UACAGAGGUCUCAAGCGUUGUUCGGAUUCAUUGGGCGUAAAGGGUGCGUAGGCGGCGCGGUAAGUCGGGUGUGAAAUCUCGGAGCUUAACUCCGAAACUGCAUUCGAUACUGCCGUGCUUGAGGACUGGAGAGGAGACUGGAAUUUACGGUGUAGCGGUGAAAUGCGUAGAUAUCAAGAGGAACACCUGAGGUGAAGACGGGUUGCUGGGCUGACACUGACGCUGAGGCGCGAAAGCCAGGGGGAGCAAACGGG
rnacentral:rRNA from 1 species